rnacentral:rRNA from 1 species
AGCAGUGAUAAACAUUAGGCCAUGAGCGAAAGCUUGACCUAAUCAUGGCUAAGAGGGCCGGUAAAUCUCGUGCCAGCCGCCGCGGUUAUACGGGAGGACCCGAGUUGAUAAAGCCCGGCGUAAAGCGUGGUUAAGAGUACAACAAACUAAAGCCGAAGGCUAUCAAAGCUGUUGAACGCACAUCGAAAGCACGAAGAACAUUUACGAAAGUAGCUUUAAUCAUCUGAGCCCACGAAAGCUAAGGUACAAACUGGGAUUAGAUACCCCACUAUGCUUAGCCGUAAACAAAGGUGGAAACAACACUCCCCCACUCGCCAGGGAACUACGAGCGAUAGCUUAAAACCCAAAGGACUUGGCGGCACUUUAGACCCAUCUAGAGGAGCCUGUUCUAUAACCGAUAACCCCCGUUAAACCUCACCUCUCCUAGUCAAUCCAGCCUAUAUACCGCCGUCGUCAGUCUACCCCGUGAGGGGCAAAAAGUAGACGAAAUUGGCACAGCCCAGAACGUCAGGUCGAGGUGUAGUCAAUGGAGAGGGAAGAAAUGGGCUACAUUUUCUCACAGAGAAAACUACGGAACAUGAACUGAAAACCGCAUACGAAGGAGGAUUUAGCAGUAAGCAGGGAACAUAGUGCCCCGCUGAAACCGGCCCUAAAGCGUGUACACACCGCCCGUCACCCUCCCCGAACUUCCGCGCCAAUUACUACAUAAGAAGCGACAGCCUUACAAGGGGAGGUAAGUCGUAACAUGGUAAGUGUA